CCCUUAGAUGUUCUGGGCCGCACGCGCGCUACACUGAUGCAUUCAACGAGUCUAAAACCUGCUCUGAUAGGGGUGGGUAAUCUUUUGAAUGUGCAUCGUGAUUGGGAUAGAUGAUUGCAAUUUUUCAUCUUCAACGAGGAAUGCCUAGUAAACGCAAGUCAUCAGCUUGUAUUGAUUACGUCCCUGCCCUUUGUACACACCGCCCGUCGCUCCUACCGAUUGAAUGAUCCGAUGAAUAUCAUGGAUUGAGGAUGCAAGUAGGUUCACCUAUCUUCAUCUUCGAGAAGUGAAGUAAAUCUUAUCAUUUAGAGGAAGGAGAAGUCGUAACA
rnacentral:rRNA from 1 species